UUCAAUAUGUCCGAGUGGUUAAGGAGACAGACUCGAAAUUUGUUGGGCUAUACCUGCGUAGGUUCAAAUCCUACUAUUGACA